GUUUAAAGCUCCGGGAUGGAAUACAAAGCUCCUACUGAACCUGACCACAGACUCUGCUGGAGAGGCCCAGUUCUCUAUUAACACUACUACUUUCCCUGGAGACUUUGAGCUAAUCGCAAGUACAACAGCUGACAUAAACCAUGUUCAACAUAAAACUCCACAUUAUGAGAGAGCACAGAAGUCUGUAUCCAGAUUAAGACCAGCAUCUCAACAGAGAAGUGCUUCAGAAAUAAGGUGGCGGUGCAGUUCUCCCCCCCCAAAAGUGGUUCCUGGAGAGGAGAGUUCCAUGCAGCUGUCAGCUCAACCUGGCUCUCUGUGUGGCCUCUGUGCUGUGGAUCAGAGCAUCUUUAUCCUGGAACCAGGGAAACGCCUGGUUGCCCAGAAGGUUACCAUAGCUACACAGAAGUCCACUACAACGACAUGAUACAUCUCCAAACGCAGUGGGCACUGUAUUAUUCCGAGGGUUUUGCAAAUAGCAAAGUAUACAUCACAGAUUUUCUUUCAGCUUCACUUUCUCCUCUCUUCAGUUGGUACUGUCCCACUGGUAUUUACAGCAUAGCAAAGCAGAGUAGUUAGCAACACAUAGUAGCACGAAGCAAUAUAUUGAGCAUUGUCAUAUUUAUAAUGUUGUUAUGUGUUUUUUUUUUACUUUUUGCACUAUUCUAGCUGUUUGUAUUAUUACCAAACUUGGACCCAAGAGUUCAAUG